rnacentral:rRNA from 1 species
CGACCGGCGCACGGGUGCGUAACGCGUAUGCAACCUACCUUUAACAGGGGGAGUAACACUGAGAAAUUGGUACUAAUACCCAUAAUAUCAUAGAAGGCAUCUUUUAUGGUUGAAAAUUCCGAUGGUUAGAGAUGGGCAUGCGUUGUAUUAGCUAGUUGGUGGGGUAACGGCUCACCAAGGCGACGAUACAUAGGGGGACUGAGAGGUUAACCCCCCACACUGGUACUGAGACACGGACCAG